ACCCACCCCACAAGAUGGCUGCAGGACAGAGUGCUGCUGGCUGCAGGACCAGGGGAGUGAGCCCAGCAUACAGAGGAGCAUGUGCGGGAAUCAUUCCAAGGAAAAGGAGAAACAUAAGAGAAAAAUAGACACGAGAAUGUCUCCACAGGAGGGGGACAGGACCCCACGGGAAGAGGCUAGAGGCUGGCGAAUCACACUGCUGAUUCAACAGGGUAGAAAGAACUGCCUGCCAGGAAUAGGAAGAGUUCUAAAAGCAUGCUUACAGAGCUGAUAGGAUGGAAGAGGGCAACAGACAAGUGAGGACCAAUCCCUAACAGGUAUGCACCAAGAGAAAUACUUAGGAUCAAACAGGAAGACCCGCGGGUAAAGACUGGAGCCGAGGAAGACACCCGGAGCCCUGCUCUACUUAAAGUGAUGGCAAACGACCAAGGACAAACAGGUGAAAGAGUUCAAGGAAAGUUCCGACCCGCACUAAUGAGCUGAGCUGCCUGGAUUCUGGCCUGGAGAAGCCUCUCCAGCAGCUUUUAUAUCAGCCUUUUUCAUCACUGUCGAUGAUUGGACGACAGCAUCAUCAUCAUCUCCUUUGGGAAGUUUUGAAUUUUAUUUCCUUUUGCUCUUCUGUGCCAGCAGCUUAGAUGUGACUCACUCACUUCCUGUACUGACCUUUGAAGAUUUUCUCUACACCUGAAAAUUUAAAUAUCUAAUGUUA
rnacentral:lncRNA from 1 species